rnacentral:rRNA from 1 species
UACGAGGGUGCGAGCGUUGUCCGGAAUUAUUGGGCGUAAAGGGCUCGUAGGCGGUUUGUCGCGUCGGGAGUGAAAACCCUCGGGGCUUAACUCGGGGCUUGCUUUCGAUACGGGCAGACUAGAGGUAUGCAGGGGAGAACGGAAUUCCUGGUGUAGCGGUGAAAUGCGCAGAUAUCAGGAGGAACACCGGUGGCGAAGGCGGGUCUCUGGGCCGAUACUGACGCUGAGGAGCGAAAGCGUGGGGAGCGAACAGG